rnacentral:rRNA from 1 species
AGAGUUUGAUCAUGGCUCAGGAUGAACGCUAGCGGCAGGCCUAAUACAUGCAAGCCGAACGGCAAGUUGAGUAGCAAUACUUGACCUAGAGUGGCGUAAGGGUGCGUAACACGUAUGCAAUCUACCCUCAACAGGAGGAUAGCUCCCCGAAAGGGGAAUUAAUACUCCAUAAGAUCACGGGAAGGCAUCUUCGAGUGAUUAAACUACAAGGGGUUGAGGAUGAGCAUGCGGUUGAUUAGUUAGUUGGUGAGGUAACGGCUCACCAAGACGAUGAUCAAUAGGGGAACUGAGAGGUUGAUCCCCCACACUGGCACUGAGAUACGGGCCAGACUCCUACGGGAGGCAGCAGUAGGGAAUAUUGGUCAAUGGGUGAGAGCCUGAACCAGCCAUGCCGCGUGCAGGAAGAAGGCCUUCUGGGUUGUAAACUGCUUUUGCCGGGGGAUAAAAUAGCUUUGCGAAGCAAAUUGAAGGUACCCGGGAAUAGCACGAUUCCGG